rnacentral:rRNA from 1 species
UACAGAGGAUGCAAGCGUUAUCCGGAAUGAUUGGGCGUAAAGCGUCUGUAGGUGGCUUUUUUAAGUCCGCCGUCAAAUCCCAGGGCUCAACUCUGGACAGGCGGUGGAAACUACCAAGCUGGAGUACGGUAGGGGCAGAGGGAAUUUCCGGUGGAGCGGUGAAAUGCGUAGAGAUCCGGAAGAACACCAGUGGCGAAGGCGGCCCGCUGGGCAGUGGCUGACGCUGAGGCGCGACAGCGUGGGGAGCAAACAGG